ensembl:snRNA U6 U6 spliceosomal RNA
GUGCUCGCUUCGGCAGCACAUAUACUAAAAUUGGAAAGAUACAGAGAAGAUUAGCAUGGCCCCUGCACAAGGAUGACAUGCAAAUUCGUGAAGCAUUCCAUAUUAAA